CAGUGGUGAACAUGUUCAAUAAUACUAAUAUAAGCAAUAGUAAUAGUGAACUGUUUCCUAAACACAUGAAGUACACAUUACAAUUCUGUAGGAAUAUGACCCAUCCUUCUAGUGGUCAAAUGCUGUUAUAGUUUCAUUUCUGAGGGUGUUUAUAUCUGUAGCACAUGUUGGAAGGCAGUGAGUGUAGUAGAUACAAAUAACACGUAGUAGCCUAUAUGCUGCUGGAAAUCUGUGUAAGUUAUCUGAGCUAUGCAUGAACUGACAGAAUCUUUGAGAUGGAAAUGUAGGAGGUUACACGUUAGGUGGAAACACACAUACAUUUGACGUGGGAUAUUAUCUACGAAACAAAGUGAAGGAAUAUUUUUAUUGACUGUAAACAACUAACAGGGUGCCGCCAUGUUCGCCCGACGUCAUAUGCACAACAUCGGCGUUAUGGACUUCCGGGUGAUUUUUACAUUUUGGACCCGAGCCAUAUAUCUGGAGACGACAAUACCAGAGACUUGAGAGUGAACAAUUUUACCUUCUAAACAACCACACAAACACCCAGAGCACCCUAAUCACAUCAAGGUUCAUGAAGAGCAGGUGCAGAUCUUCAUCUCUCACAAGUUUGUAUCUGGACUUUGACACAAUCAAGUUCCCUUAAGGUGGUGGUUCAUGAAGAGCAGGUGCAGAUCUUCAUCUCUCAUAAGUUUGUAUCUGGACUUUGACACCAUCAGGUUCCCUUAAGGUGAGAUUUUCUGUGUACAUCUUUAACAUUUUGGGGUUCCUCUUUGUCCUUCUCUUGAGAACUAAAGCUGUUCAGCUGCUGACCAAAACAACUAAUUGUUGAUGACAUGAUGAACAACGUUAUUUUUUAUUUAAAUUACUGAAUUAAUUGAGAUGGAUACCUUUUAAUUGUGAAGUUUGCAAAAACAAAAACCUUGCAUCACAAAAAGUGUAUUGUGAUUGUCAAAACAUUUGGCAAUUAAACAGAAGAUAAUUAAAUUAAAUUAGAUAUUUUACUUCAUAACCUGU